GGGUGUGAAAAACACCCACGCCGAAAGACCAAGGGUUCCUGCGCAACGUUAAUCGACGCAGGGUUAGUCGGUUCCUAAGGCGAGGCUGAAAAGCGUAGUCGAUGGGAAACAGGUUAAUAUUCCUGUACUUCUGGUUACUGCGAUGGAGGGACGGAGAAGGCUAGGCCAGCUUGGCGUUGGUUGUCCAAGUUUAAGGUGGUAGGCUGAAAUCUUAGGUAAAUCCGGGGUUUCAAGGCCGAGAGCUGAUGACGAGUCGUCUUUUAGAUGACGAAGUGGUUGAUGCCAUGCUUCCAAGAAAAGCUUCUAAGCUUCAGGUAACCAGGAACCGUACCCCAAACCGACACAGGUGGUCGGGUAGAGAAUACCAAGGCGCUUGAGAGAACUCGGGUGAAGGAACUAGGCAAAAUGGCACCGUAACUUCGGGAGAAGGUGCGCCGGCUAGGGUGAAGGAUUUACUCCGUAAGCUCUGGCUGGUCGAAGAUACCAGGCCGCUGCGACUGUUUAUUAAAAACACAGCACUCUGCAAACACGAAAGUGGACGUAUAGGGUGUGACGCCUGCCCGGUGCCGGAAGGUUAAUUGAUGGGGUUAGCGCAAGCGAAGCUCUUGAUCGAAGCCCCGGUAAACGGCGGCCGUAACUAUAACGGUCCUAAGGUAGCGAAAUUCCUUGUCGGGUAAGUUCCGACCUGCACGAAUGGCGUAACGAUGGCGGCGCUGUCUCCACCCGAGACUCAGUGAAAUUGAAAUCGCUGUGAAGAUGCAGUGUAUCCGCGGCUAGACGGAAAGACCCCGUGAACCUUUACUGUAGCUUUGCACUGGACUUCGAGCCCGCUCGUGUAGGAUAGGUGGGAGGCUUUGAAGCGUGGACGCCAGUUCGCGUGGAGCCAUCCUUGAAAUACCACCCUGGCAUGCUUGAGGUUCUAACUCUGGUCCGUAAUCCGGAUCGAGGACAGUGUAUGGUGGGCAGUUUGACUGGGGCGGUCUCCUCCUAAAGAGUAACGGAGGAGUACGAAGGUGCGCUCAGACCGGUCGGAAAUCGGUCGCAGAGUAUAAAGGCAAAAGCGCGCUUGACUGCGAGACAGACACGUCGAGCAGGUACGAAAGUAGGUCUUAGUGAUCCGGUGGUUCUGUAUGGAAGGGCCAUCGCUCAACGGAUAAAAGGUACUCCGGGAUAACAGGCUGAUACCGCCCAAGAGUUCAUAUCGACGGCGGUGUUUGGCACCUCGAUGUCGGCUCAUCACAUCCUGGGGCUGAAGCCGGUCCCAAGGGUAUGGCUGUUCGCCAUUUAAAGUGGUACGCGAGCUGGGUUUAGAACGUCGUGAGACAGUUCGGUCCCUAUCUGCCGUGGACGUUUGAGAUUUGAGAGGGGCUGCUCCUAGUACGAGAGGACCGGAGUGGACGAACCUCUGGUGUUCCGGUUGUCACGCCAGUGGCAUUGCCGGGUAGCUAUGUUCGGAAAAGAUAACCGCUGAAAGCACCUAAGCGGGAAACUUGCCUCAAGAUGAGAUCUCACUGGGAACUUGAUUCCCCUGAAGGGCCGUCGAAGACUACGACGUUGAUAGGCUGGGUGUGUAAGCGUUGUGAGGCGUUGAGCUAACCAGUACUAAUUGCCCGUGAGGCUUGACC
rnacentral:rRNA from 1 species